rnacentral:rRNA from 1 species
UUGGCGGCGUGGAUUAGGCAUGCAAGUCGAGGGAAUCCCAGCAAUGGGGGAACCGGCGUAAGGGGCAGUAAGGCGUGGGUACCUACCGCGGGGUUCGGGAUAGUCAUCAGAGAUGGUGGGUAAUACCGGAUGACGUCGUGAGACCAAAGAUUUAUCGCCCUGUGAGGGGCCCACGUGAUAUUAGCUAGUUGGUGAGGUAACGGCUCACCAAGGCGAAGAUGUCUAGCGGGUGUGAGAGCACGACCCGCGCCACUCGCACUGAGACACUGGCGAGACACCUACGGGUGGCUGCAGUCGAGGAUCUUCGGCAAUGGGCGAAAGCCUGACCGAGCGACGCCGCGUGCGCGAUGAAGGCCUUCGGGUUGUAAAGCGCGAAAGUGGGGAGAAAGCCGCAAGGUUGAUCGAUCCACAGUAAGCACGGGCUAAGUUCGUGCCAGCAGCCGCGGUAAGACGAACCGUGCGAACGUUGUUCGGAAUCACUGGGCUUAAAGGGCGCGUAGGCGGGCUGUCAAGUCUGGGGUGAAAUGCCGCGGCUCAACCGUGGAACUGCCUUAGAUACUGACGGCCUCGAGGGAGGUAGGGGCAUGCGGAACUGUGAGUGGAGCGGUGAAAUGCGUUGAUAUUCACAGGAACUCCGGUGGC